AGUCAAAUAAGCCUCCUGACUGCGUGCGAGAACAUUUUGAAUUAUCUGGCACGAGGCAUCACACGUCAAACUUCAACUGACACAACGGUCUCGGUGAAGGGAAUAAGCAAAAGCUCCUUUAAAUUUCGUCAUUUUUUAUACACAUCCCGUUUAUUUUGUAGUUAAUUGUUAGAUAAGUAAGUAAUUUCGUCAAGUUUUCGUUACAGAGUAAGAUUUCGUUAUCAUCGUUACCAUAUACAGUAUUUAUAUUGGUUCAAGAGCGCAGUUUGAUAACUCAUUCAAGGGGGUUCAGUUCCUGCAGUCUUCCAGCAAUACUGGCGCGUAUGACGAUGCGGACACGAACUGCACACUACAGUAUACCGCCGCCUACUGUACUGUAGUAAAAUAACGUGUAGGAUUGAAUACUGUGGCAAACGCAGUAAAAAAAAGCCAUUUAAUUCAUUGUAAAAACAAUGGGCAUGCCAGUUUAAGUAACUUGUGGGCUAAAUCACCAAAAUAAGUUUGUAGAUGUGGUUCAAUUAUUUUUAAAAUGUGUAGCAUAAUGGACCAGCCUGAAUGUAUGUAGCCUAUAAAUAUAUUGUUUAGACUUUAUUUUUAAACCUUUAUUUGGUGGUAUAUGGUUAAACCUUUUUAAUGGUAGCAAUAGGCUUUAUACCCAGCUGCACUACUUCCUGAACUUCAGCCAGCUCCUUGUUUCCUGUCUGCCAUUAUUGGUCAAACUGAUUAAUCCAGGUGUGCCUGACCUCAGUAGUCACAACAACAAUAAUCAGACAGACCUGGAUUUAUCAGUUUGUCCAAUAAUGGCAGACAGGAAACAAUGGGCUGGCUGAAGUUCAGGAAGUAGUGCAGCUGGGCAUAAAGCCUAUUAAAUAAAAAUCUUAAAUUGAAUCAAAUCUCUUAUAAUAAUACAUAAAAGCUCUGGGAGGGUUGGGGGUACAUCUGGGUAACAUUUUAACAUUUAAUAUAUUUUGAUGUGUGUGUAUAUAUAUUAACUUUCUUUAUUUUGUUUUCUCAGCCUUUAAACAUCUAAACAUGUCCUCCAAAAAGGGAAAAAGGGAAAAACACUGGAAAACAAUUUCAGCCUAAGGUUUGAGAUGGCUAACUGUGUACAUUGCCUUUGUGUACUGCAAGCUGAACUUACAGAUUUAUAUGGACUUUACUUACAGGUUUCCUGUGCUGUUUUGCUCCAUUUUACAGAACAAAAUAAGGCUGAGGUAGCACCAUCCUUGUGGUUAGAGUGAAAGAAUGUGGGUAUUGAGACCAAAAUAAAUAAUGUGCCAUUCUGGACAAACAGCUGUGGACAAUACAAGCAGUCAGAGUAGCCCAUUUUCUCACACAGAUGAGGAGCAACCAGUAAGAAAAAGCAAAAAGAUGUUUUGAUGUUGCCUGAGGCACCUUAUUCACAUCAGUCAAUUUCUUCCAAUAAUGAAUCAAGAAAUCCUGGAGUGGAGAAUCAUUCUGAAAGUAGACCAAAUACAGGACAACACCACAGCAGUGGUUGGAAAAAUGCAGCAGACAAUGAGCAAACCAAGCUGACUUUCAAAAGAUGAUUCGUUAUCUGUUUCUUCAAAGGGGAGGCAGUUUGGGAGAUGGGAAAUAGGAGGAUGCUUCAGCUACACAGGGCGAAUUUCAGCAGCUCAGUUUCACACUUGCAACUAACAAUGAAUUAUAGUUAGAAGACAACGGAAAUAUUUGACAUGGGAGUCCAGCAGACAGCCAGAGACACGCACACACACGGAGCUGAAGCGCGUUUGACUGAAGCGUACGGGAGAUCAGGCACGCGCACGGGAGCUCGCUCGCACACGCAAACACGGAGCACAGG